UACGUAGGGUGCAAGCGUUGUCCGGAAUUAUUGGGCGUAAAGAGCGUGUAGGCGGCCAGGUAGGUCUGCUGUGAAAACUCGAGGCUCAACCUCGAGACGUCGGCGGAAACCAUCUGGCUAGAGUCCGGAAGAGGAGAGUGGAAUUCCUGGUGUAGCGGUAAAAUGCGCAGAUAUCAGGAAGAACACCCGUGGCGAAGGCGGCUCUCUGGGACGGUACUGACGCUGAGACGCGAAAGCGUGGGGAGCGAACAGG
rnacentral:rRNA from 1 species